GGCAAUAUAUUAACAGAAAUUACGCAUGUAAGAAAAAAUAUACAAUAUUCGUUUUCUUGAAAGGUCUCCACUCCAUAAGGCAGAUUCAGGAUACAGAGUUUUGAGAUGCGCAGAUAUGCAAACGCUUACUGACUGACUAUACACAUAUGUACGUAUGGAUCUUUUGACAAUGGGUGGUUACCCUUUAUAUAACUACGAGUGCUCAUCCGUUCGUCCGACGGUUCUAUUGGUACAUUUAGGUGCGCUUACUAAAGGACACUGGCAUACCUUUGGUUGAUAUAUGCCUUGGUGUGGUAAUUAUAAGUUCUUAUCGAGGCCGCCAGUGUUUGAAUUAGUUGUUUGUCCCUCUUUGCCGGUGCAUACGAAUCAAUGUCACUGCCACUGAGGUGGAUAACAAAUAUUAACAACUACUAUAUUUACACAAACCGGAUUAGCUACUCCACCUGAUAUUCCGUGUGCGCAGGACACGUUCCGCCCACGUCUGUGGUCUUGGUAUUUCCCGGGCCACUCCAGUUUGUUUUUUGUCGAUAUAGUCAAUUACAUCAUCGUAAUAGUUGGUUCUGUAGUUGUACAUGUAUUUGUAUUGCAGAAACUUCGGCCUGAAAAGUGCAGAUUGCAUAAGAUACAGUACGGUACAGUGCUGUACAGUACAGUGGAGGACCAACCUGACCCAGUGGCGGUAGAGCUGCACCGGUUUCCUGUAACCAUCGUCUUCUGGCGGAGGCGGCGGUGCUUUGAUUUCUUCUACCUCUUCCGGAGCAGCCUCCUCGUUGGCCGGAGUGCCAGCCACGACGCUAUCAGCCUUGUGAUCGGAUGCCACACUCGGUGCUUUUGAGGGUGGGGCCGGAGUGCCCGCCUGGGUGGAUGCCGCCUUCUCCUCCUCGCCGCCGUCGUCGAAACCCCAUGGAUCUUCUUCGUCUGCCAUAUUACUGAAACGGAAUCCUUUCAAUAUUAUUAUAUAUCUAUCAUAGACAGAUUCACUUUCAAUAUUCGAUCUCUAGGUAACGUAAGCCAUCAUCAUAUUAUUAUAUCAC
ensembl:ncRNA asRNA:CR45161 antisense RNA:CR45161